rnacentral:lncRNA from 1 species
AUUACUUCCCAACUGACAUGGCAAAUAACCAAUUUUUUUUUUUUAAAUUAAGAAUUAACAAUUAAAAUCCCAAACGCACACCUACCCACACAAUGGUUGGGUGAUUUUUCUCCCCAAAUUGAAACACAGAAACAGAAACGCUCUCCAUGCCUCACCAUCUCCGGCCACACUUCAAAGGACGGUACCGUCGGCGCUCCGGCAACACUUCCGUCAAAGGUUUGGCUACCUCCCACUUCACUACUUCCAACCGCACUUGGGAUGAAGGUUAUCGCCACUCCAGGAGCACUUCCAUCCAAGUUUCACCGGUCACGCUUGACCAUCUCCGGCCGCCAGUGAAAUCAAACGACAAUUAUCUCUCUUCCUUAUGCCAUUUGGGAGUUGGUUGCUAGACAAAGGCAUGUAGUGAAUUCACCCCCCCCCCCCCAAUUCUUUAAUUUUUGCCAGUGUUAUAAGUAGUCUGAAACUGAAAAUGGUUGUUAUGCAUUCAUCAGUCCGAAUAUGUUGACACUGAAAGCUCAUGUUUAUUUUAUUUUAUUUUUUUUCAUUUUUCUGCUACAUUGGUCAUGGAGCUAACCCUUUUCACUUAGCUAAAAAAUGAUUGUUAGAUUCAAUUAUGUUUAGAGGGAGAAACAUUAUCUUGUAGCCAAAAUGGUUAAACUUGUGGUGUAAAAAUCCUAUUCUUUGGAUAAAGUUGAUGUCAAGUUCCAACAUUACUACAAUUGCAUCUCUUUGAGUUAAUUGUAAACUGUGGUUUAUUUUCAUUAUAGAAUGGGAGGAAAGAAUAAUGAAAUCAUCAUAGCUGUAGAUCUAAGGGUCACUUCUUCGUCGUCUGCCCAUGGAAACGUCGAUGCCCAAAUUGCAAGCAUGGAUUCGAGAAGUGUUUUGUAGUGAAGAAGUAGAUGAUCAAUAAAGGACGUUUAUUUCUUUGUUGUAGCAAGAAAUGUGGAUUUUGGGAAUGGGUUGUGAAAAAUCAAUCAAGUAGUCAAUCCUCUUGCGAUAACUCUUCUUCAGUUUACCAUGUAACGA